GACGAACGCUGGCGGCGUGCUUAACACAUGCAAGUCGAACGGAAAGGCCCUGCUUUUGUGGGGUGCUCGAGUGGCGAAAGGGUGAGUAACACGUGAGUAACCUGCCCUUGACUUUGGGAUAACUUCAGGAAACUGGGGCUAAUACCGGAUAGGAGCUCCUGCUGCCUGGUGGGGGUUGGAAAGUUUCGGCGGUUGGGGAUGGACUCGCGGCUUAUCAGCUAGUUGGUGGGGUAGUGGCUUACCAAGGCUUUGACGGGUAGCCGGCCUGAGAGGGUGACCGGCCACAUUGGGACUGAGAUACGGCCCAGACUCCUACGGGAGGCAGCAGUGGGGAAUAUUGCACAAUGGGCGGAAGCCUGAUGCAGCAACGCCGCGUGCGGGAUGACGGCCUUCGGGUUGUAAACCGCUUUCGCCUGUGACGAAGCGUGAGUGACGGUAAUGGGUAAAGAAGCACCGGCUAACUACGUG
rnacentral:rRNA from 1 species